GAAUGCAAAUUGCAACAAAAAAAUCCUAACUCUAAUAGAAUACUAAUUAAACUCUAAUUAGACCAUAACAAUGCUAAGUAAGAUUUAAUCAAAUUCAAAGAAAUCUCAAAGGAAUUACAAAGAAAUAAUAAGAAAACUUAAAGAAAUAUUAAAAUGAUCACAAAUAUAUCUCAAAUACAUCUCAAUUCAAUCUUAAUUUAAUCCUAGUUAAAAUCCUAUUGGAAUUCAUUCAAACUUUAGGCCAAAAACUAACUAAAUCUUAAAUCCUAACCAAAUCCUAAAUCAAACCCUAAUCAAACUCUAAAUCCUAAAUCAAACCCUUAUUAAAUCUUAAAUCCUAAUCAAACUCUAAAUUCUAAAUCAAAUCCUAAAUCCUAAACCAAAUCCUAACUAAAUCCUAAUCCUAAAUCAAACCUUAACCAAAUUCUAAUCUUAAAUCAAAUCCUAACCAAAUCCUAAAUCCUAAAUCAAAUCCUAACCAAACCCUAAUAAUUUCUACAAAAAAUUUAAACCUCAAUAAGUAAUGAAUAAA
rnacentral:lncRNA from 1 species